rnacentral:rRNA from 1 species
UACGUAGGGCGCAAGCGUUGUCCGGAAUUAUUGGGCGUAAAGAGCUCGUAGGCGGUUUGUCGCGUCUGCCGUGAAAACCCGAGGCUUAACCUCGUGGCUUGCGGUGGAUACGGGCAGACUAGAGGUAGGUAGGGGAGAAUGGAAUUCCCGGUGUAGCGGUGAAAUGCGCAGAUAUCGGGAGGAACACCGGUGGCGAAGGCGGUUCUCUGGGCCUUAACUGACGCUGAGGAGCGAAAGCGUGGGGAGCGAACAGG